rnacentral:tRNA from 5 species
GGGUCGAUGCCCGAGUUGGUCAAAGGGAUCGGAUUGUAAAUCCGCCGGCUUCGCCUACGCAGGUUCAAAUCCUGCUCGGCCCA